rnacentral:tRNA from 1 species
GCCGUGGUGGCGGAAUUGGCAGACGCGCAGGAUUCAGGAUCCUGUGUCCAUUAGGACGUGUGGGUUCAACUCCCACCCGCGGCA